rnacentral:rRNA from 1 species
CACGUAGGGUGCGAGCGUUGUCCGGAAUUAUUGGGCGUAAAGAGCUCGUAGGCGGUGUGUCGCGUCGGCCGUGAAAACCUGCAGCUUAACUGUGGGCUUGCGGUCGAUACGGGCAUCACUGGAGUUCGGCAGGGGAGGCUGGAAUUCCUGGUGUAGCGGUGAAAUGCGCAGAUAUCAGGAGGAACACCGGUGGCGAAGGCGGGUCUCUGGGCCGAUACUGACGCUGAGGAGCGAAGCGUGGGGAGCGAACAGGA